GGGGUGAUUCUGGUGGAAUGAGCGGCGGACGGGUGAGUAACACGUGGGCAACCUGCCUGUAAGACUGGGAUAACUUCGGGAAACCGGAGCUAAUACCGGAUAGUAUUUCCUUUCUCCUGAUUGGAAAUGGAAAGACGGUUUCGGCUGUCACUUACAGAUGGGCCCGCGGUGCAUUAGCUAGUUGGUGGGGUAAUGGCCCACCAAGGCGACGAUGCAUAGCCGACCUGAGAGGGUGAUCGGCCACACUGGGACUGAGACACGGCCCAGACUCCUACGGGAGGCAGCAGUAGGGAAUCUUCCGCAAUGGACGAAAGUCUGACGGAGCAACGCCGCGUGAGCGAUGAAGGCCUUCGGGUCGUAAAGCUCUGUUGUUAGGGAAGAACAAGUACGAGAGUAACUGCUCGUACCUUGACGGUACCUAACCAGAAAGCCCCGGCUAACUACGUGCCAGCAGCCGCGGUAAUACGUAGGGGGCAAGCGUUGUCCGGAAUUAUUGGGCGUAAAGGGCUCGUAGGCGGUUUCUUAAGUCUGAUGUGAAAGCCCACAGCUCAACUGUGGAGGGUCAUUGGAAACUGGGGAACUUGAG
rnacentral:rRNA from 1 species